rnacentral:tRNA from 1 species
GGAGAGAUACCAAAGUGGCCAAAUGGGGCGGACUGUAAAUCCGUUGCGUAAGCUUCGAAGGUU